rnacentral:lncRNA from 1 species
UCUUUCAAAGGAAUCAAUCUAGGAAAUUUCAACAAGAACAUACCACUCUGCAGCUUGGAAAGGAAUUUUAAAGGCCAGGAAUUGGCUAAUCAAACAUAUUUCUUAUGCAAUCUCUUCUGGAACUAGUACUAAUAUGUGGUACGAUCCUUGGGUGAAUGGAAAGAGUAUAUUUCAAUUAUAUGGCGACAGAAUACGAAAAGAUCUUGGGGCUCCCAAAGAUUGGAAGGUUUC